AGGCCUCACCUGCGGCGGGGGUGGAGCUGCAGCUGCGGCUCGCCGCGGGGGGAGGGGGGAAGCCGUUUAAAAUGGCGGCGCGCGGCGCCCUGAGGAUUCGAUAAUGGCGGGUGACCGUUACAAGUAGCUGCACCCUUGUCCCCCACCCUGGGCUGUGCUGUGCUGCGCUGCUGGUGGCUGCCGCCCCGCCGUGGUGAGGCAAGGCCCRGUGUUCCCGGGUCGGCUAGAAGCACACACCCAGCCCGGCGGGGUUUGGACGCCCCCACAGUGUGUUCGCUCUUUAAGACUUUCACUCGUUAAGUGUUUCCUGAGAAGGAUGUAGGAAGCUGCGAGUCAGAGAAGCUGCACCAGAGUCACCGUUUUUUUAAGGGACUAAAAUGGACUCGUAGAUGUGAUAUUUUUCUCGAAAGAAAAUGAGAAGGAUGGCCCCUUUAGUUUAACACUGCUGUGGCAAAUAAGUGAACCUCCCUUGAUGGCUGCAAAUACUUCUGAAGCAAUAGGAAGAAGGUCGGGGUAACAAAUGUGCUCCGAGUGUUUGGAAUGAGAUUUUAGUCUGAGAUCCUUUUUUUUCUUUUUUUUAAUGACUGCUCUUUUGAUCGCAACAAUUUUUUUUCAUGAAACUGUAGUCUUUUCACAGAAACAUAAUACCUUUUCUCAUUCUUGAAAUAUCCUUUAACACUUCUAUAAAGAACAAUUAUUAAUAACUCUAGCCCAUCACAGCGUGCUGAAAUGCGAGUUGAAAGUGCUGCGCCAUCCAUGGGGCUUGUAGUGUCCUGGCCCACUUUCACCCUGUUCAUCUGAAAGGUAUAGCAAGAGGCCCGUAUCACUGUCACUCCAUUUAGAAGAACAAAAGGAAGAGGAUUUUUUUGUCACUCACAUGCUGCAGACACAGGAAUACAGUUCUUCCAUUAAGUGUCCUGUAGGAGUUCCUGUGGAGAACUCUACUUCCUCCGAAUCCUCAGAGUACCAGAGGUCACUUCCUUAAUUGGAGCCUUCUCUUCCAUCAGGUAUUAAAAAGUCAGU
rnacentral:lncRNA from 1 species